rnacentral:tRNA from 1 species
GCGGGGUUGCCCUAGCCUGGUAGGGGGCAGGCCUGCUAAGCCUGUGGUCCAUUUGGGCCGCGCGGGUUCAAAUCCCGCACCCCGCGCCA